rnacentral:rRNA from 1 species
UAUAAAUUAUAAUUUUAUUGUGCUGGGGUGGUGUAUAUAUAUUGUAAAACUGUUUAUAAAAUAAAAUCAAUAAUAUUUGAUUAAUAAAAUUGAUCCUUUAAUAGAUUAAAAGAUUAAAAUACUUUAGGGAUAACAGCGUUAUUUUUUCUAAGAGUUCUUAUUGAAGAAAAAGUUUGCGACCUCGAUGUUGAAUUAAAGUUUCUUUGUGGUGUAGCAGCUAUGUAAGAGAGUCUGUUCGACUUUUAAUACUUUACGUGAUCUGAGUUCAGACCGGAA